CCUACGGGAGGCAGCAGUGUUUAAUAUUUCACAAUUUUUUAAACCCUUAUUCAUCAACUCCUCUUUUUUGAAGGAGCGUUUCGGCGCGUAAAGCCCUGUCAGCGGGGAAGAAGAAAGACGGUACCCGACCAAGAAGCCCCGGCUAACUACGUGCCAGCAGCCGCGGUAAUACGUAGGGGGCGAGCGUUAUCCGGAAUUACUGGGUGUAAAGGGAGCGUAGACGGCGAGGUAAGCCUGAAGUGGAAGCCCGCGGCCCAACCGCGGAACUGCUUUGGGAACUGUUUUGCUGGAGUAUGGGAGGGGUAAGCGGAAUUCCUGGUGUAGCGGUGAAAUGCGUAGAUAUCAGGAGGAACACCGGUGGUGAAGGCGGCUUACUGGACCAUAACUGACGUUGAGGCUCGAAAGCGUGGGGAGCGAACAGGAUUAGAUACCCCUGUAGUC
rnacentral:rRNA from 1 species